GACGAACGCUGGCGGCGUGCUUAACACAUGCAAGUCGAACGGAAAGGCCCUGCUUUUGUGGGGUGCUCGAGUGGCGAACGGGUGAGUAACACGUGAGUAACCUGCCCUUGACUUUGGGAUAACUUCAGGAAACUGGGGCUAAUACCGGAUAGGAGCUCCUGCUGCAUGGUGGGGGUUGGAAAGUUUCGGCGGUUGGGGAUGGACUCGCGGCUUAUCAGCUUGUUGGUGGGGUAGUGGCUUACCAAGGCUUUGACGGGUAGCCGGCCUGAGAGGGUGACCGGCCACAUGGGGACUGGGAUACGGCCCAGACUCCUACGGGAGGCAGCAGUGGGGAAUAUGGCACAAUGGGCGGAAGCCUGAGGCAGCAACGCCGCGUGCGGGAUGACGGCCUUCGGGUGGUAAACCGCUUUCGCCUGUGACGAAGCGUGAGGGACGGUAAUGGGUAAAGAAGCACCGGCUAACUACGU
rnacentral:rRNA from 1 species